AGUGAACGCUGGCGGUAGGCCUAACACAUGCAAGUCGAACGGCAGCACAGGAGAGCUUGCUCUCUAGGUGGCGAGUGGCGGACGGGUGAGGAAUACAUCGGAAUCUGCCCAGUCGUGGGGGAUAACGUAGGGAAACUUACGCUAAUACCGCAUACGACCUUCGGGUGAAAGAGGGGGAUCGCAAGACCUCUCGCGAUUGGAUGAGCCGAUGUCGGAUUAGCUAGUUAGCGGGGUAAUGGCCCACCAAGGCGACGAGCCGUAGCUGGUCUGAGAGGAUGAUCAGCCACACUGGAACUGAGACACGGUCCAGACUCCUACGGGAGGCAGCAGUGGGGAAUAUUGGACAAUGGGCGCAAGCCUGAUCCAGCCAUACCGCGUGGGUGAAGAAGGCCUUCGGGUUGUAAAGCCCUUUUGCUGGGAAAGAAAUCUUUCAGGCUAAUACCCUGGGAGGAUGACGGUACCCAAAGAAUAAGCACCGGCUAACUUCGUG
rnacentral:rRNA from 1 species